AAAAGGGCUCAGCGACAUGCUCAGAUAAGAACGCACUGCACUUAGGUCAUCUGCUCUGCAGGACCAUCCUGAGGUGGGUGUUAUCCUUCUACCACCAUGGGUACAGAGGAGAAGAAGCUGAGACUUAGGAAACGAGCAUUUGCCCAAGGACACUGGGCAAGAAGAAAGGCUAGCUUCGAACCCAGGCUUCUGCAUUCAAAUUGCAUGUUUGUUGGCAGUGAAGGUAAUACAGUGGCUCUCAACUGUCAUUGCUCAUUGGAAUUGCAGGAAAGCUGCACAAAGUACUGAUGUCUCUCGGAGGUCCUGAUGUUACCAUCUGGGUGUGGCCUGGGCUUAGAUCUGCAAGCCCCCUCCCCGCAGGAUUCUGCUGUGCAAAGCUGAGACCCAUGACACAGAUUGACCUCAAAUCUCCAGCCCCCAAUGUAGGCAAGGAGUUAAAGCACAAGUUUUAAGAUUAUUAUUAAGGAAGUUAACCACGUGCCACCUAUCUUAUGGAGGCCUCACAACAAACCCCCCACCCCCAUUUUACUGAAGAAACAGAGGAAGGAUAAGGAGUAAGUGGGAGAGCCAGGAUUUGAACCCAGGCGUCUGACCUCAGACCCCUCGCACACACCACCGUGCUGUAUCCUCUCCAACUUAAGUCUCAGAAGUGAUUCGGAAAGUCAUACAAUAGAUUAUUCAUGAGCUGAAAAAACAGACUUGCCAUCCACCAGUCCACUCCUGGAAUUACUCGUGACAAUUCACUUAGCCACUUUGUGUUGUGUGCUCUGAUCUGUCUGUAACCUGAUGCUGUCGGCAAGUUAAGACCCAACAAGUACCAACUCAUUGAAGUAUGUGUGGAUUCAGCCAAGAAAAAUGUUUUCGAUUCCAGCUUCUAUUUGCCACCAUGCUUAAGAAAAGUCAGACGGCAUCAGCAAAUCCUCUGUGGUCUUCCAGACUCAGAAAUGAACCUGCGGCUCUAGGGAGUUUCCGUGAUUCAGACCUGAUGAGCAGAGGCUGAGCCAUGCCCCGCAGGUACUUGGAAUUCUGCCCCCAAGUCGACAAUCUCCAAGUGAGAGGACUCCCACGAGGAGACCAACCACGAGAAGAGGACCCACCUGCUGGGCUUACAUGUCAUGGUUCUGCACCAAGAGGUUUGAGGAUAGCACAAAACUGGGACUAGACCUGAUGUUUUGCAGUUUUGUUCAGAUAGCUGCCAAACGGCUCAGGCAGGGCCAGGAGACCCCGGCAGAGUGCAGGAACCAGCCUCACUUAACUAUGGUCGUGAGAAGGCACUGUAUGUUUAGCUGUGGUUUACUAAAAGGGCAGGGUGGGGCAGUCCACACACCCCAGCAGGCUCCUUCCUCCGUUAGCUUCCUUUUGCACUAUGAAUCAUUACGUGGCAGAAGGGGCAGCUGACUUAGUGCCCCUCUGCUGGAUCUGAUGUCCCCAACAUUGCUGGAUCUCCCCCCAUGAAGCAGGGGGUCUCCACUCUGGUGGCCCAUCAGAAGGAUCUGAGCCUCUUCAAGCAGGGUGUCUUCUCCUCCCCCCUCGACUGCAGGUUUCCUUACUCAGACUCUCUGAGGCGGGCUCAGCCUUUUGUUUUUAGAGCUCCUCAGAAAUUUCUGAGAUGGCUGUCACAGAUGAUCCAAGCACAGAGAAAAGUCUACUGUGGGCAAAGCUAAGGACUCUAGACUUUGUUCUGUCCCAGGCUCAAUUCUGCCACCCACUAGAAGCCACUACCUGAUGCCUAGUAUUUAACCUAUCAGAGUUUCAGUCUCUGCGAAUGUAAAAUGGGGACCAGCAAAGUUAAGAGUGAUUGCAAGGAGCUAAAUGUUUCUGCAAGAACUUCGUAAAUGGUAAACAUAGGAAUAUUGCAGUACACAAACGGUCGAUAUACCAUUUACUGCCUAGUAGCAUAAUUGAGCAGUUUCUAUGCCUGCCUCCCCCAUUAGACUUUGAGCAUCUCCUGGCAGACUUGACAGCUAACUUGUCUUGGAAUCCCCGGCGCCUAGCACAGAACAGUGAUUAAUAAAUGCUUGUUAAAUGAGUACUAGAAGCCGGCCAAGAAGCGGCUAGAGAGAGUAGCAAUGGAAAGCCGUGGAGAGGUGGAGAGGAGACUAUUUUAAAGUUAAUCCAAAUAUGUAGCGGCCACCCGAAAGCACAGCUGCGUGGAAAGGAAGCUCUUAGAUCGGGCGAAGCUGCCACAGAGGAGAAUGAAGUCAGCGUCCUGGCAGGUGGGGGCAGCCCCCGCUAAACCCCUGACAGCUGCUGCCCAGCAACUGUUUGGGGGCAGGGCGACGGGCAAAGGGGCAGGUUCCCAGGCGCGCGGCGCCCUCCCCAGGGCCCAGCCUCCCCAAGACAGGGUGUCAGUGGCAUGCAUGUGCUAUUUCGAACAGUGUGUUCCCUGCCAAGCCUGCCGGGUGGCGUCGCCGGGAAGGGACGCGGAGCGGCCGGGAGGUUCGAGGUACCCCAAAAGGUUCCGACCGAGGCUGCGGUAGGCUGGACCGUGAGCGGGAGUAGCGGGCGAGGGGCUCAACUCUAGCCUCGACCUCUAGCCUGACAGCCACCUAGCAUCUGCCGGACCUUCUCCAAGCAGCAGUCGGAACGCUCCUCUCCCCGGAAAGGCGUGCCUCUCUUGUUACCUAGUAACGACGCCCCCUGUUGCAUAGCAACAAGGAUCCGGGUCCCCAGUUUGUUUCCCCGCGGAGCGACGUCGGACCCCUCCCCACUAGUGCUCUCCAGGCCUCGCGGCUAAGCCCUAGUCCCGCUUGUAGCUGCCGCCGCUUCCCCGUCCCGCGUGCAGCCCCCCGAGCGCCAGUCUCGGCUCGCACUCACCCGGCUCCGGCCACGCUAUCCUUCACGUGCGACUUCACUAAAACGCGCCACUAAACCCGCGCCUCAAUCCCGGGGCGUUGGUUUAUCGUCUGCGCACGCGCAAGGCGGGAUGAGCCCGGGAACAGGGCAGCCUCCCUCCCGGGACCAAUCUGGUGCAGGUCAGCGCAUGCGCCCUACACUCUGAUUACGUUUUUUCCCAAGCAUUUCCACUCAGAGAAGAAUGGGGUCGGAAGUUUGACCUGGGAACGGAAGUCCCUGGCGAGAAAGGGGAAAGAAGGGCUACUGUAGGUCAGCAACAGCAAUGAGUAAUGACCUAACCUUGGAGACUUGUGGAACUGGAUGGUUGUCUCCAUGUUUUGGCUAUUGCAAAU